rnacentral:misc_RNA from 1 species
UUUCCGUAGGUGAACCUGCGGAAGGAUCAUUAACACUUUAAGAAAUCCAAACUUAAAAAAACUUUUCCCCCCUCUCUGCCCCAAGAAAUUGGGUCUGGGCUGGGGGAAAAACACCCAUUCGUGUGAACCCGUUGAAGUAUUUAACAGCAUUUCUCUCUACAGGGAAGUGCCUGUUACAUAUUACAUAUAUAAACUACUUACAAUUCAAAUCCUCCUAUUUCCAAUCAUUUUUUCUGUCUAAACGACCUAUGAUACACCAUAAAGGAUUUAUUUCUCUCUUCUUUUUCACUAGAGAAAGAAAGGGUUAAAAAUUUUUUAAAAUGUUAAGACAACUUUUAACAACGGAUAUCUUGGUUCUC